CCUACGGGUGACAGCAGUGAGGAAUAUUGGGCAAUGGACGCAAGUCUGAACGAGCCAUGCCGCGUGAAGGAAGACGGCGCUAUGAGGUGUAAAGUGCUGUUGUAAGAGGGGAAACGCAGAUACGCGUAGCUUUCUGAAAGUAGCGUACGAAUAAGGAUCGGCUAACUCCGUGCCAGCAGGCGCGGGAAUACGGAGGAUUCAAGCGUUAGCCGGAUUGAUUGGGGUGAACGGGUGCGUCGGCGGUCGGGUAAGUUAGAGGUGACAUCCCGAGGCUCCCCUUCGGAAUUGCCUGUUAUACUGUUCGGCUAGAGCGCAGUUGCGGUAGGCGGCAUG
rnacentral:rRNA from 1 species